CAAGAUAUAUAGAGACUGGUAGGCGCGCUUAUACCUGUAAAAUUUGACGCCAAAUGCGGCGCUAGGUAAACUCAAUCCAUAGAUGGCGCCAGGGUGAUCAGUGUACUUCAAAUGAAUGUCAUUUAAAUUGUUUUAGGUUAUGAUGUUAUGACCAAAAAUUUUGUACUUAGCGACUUGGUGUGGUUUGGCAUCUACAGUGUGUUAUACCUAGUUAUUAUUGCAAACAAUUUCGGUAAAUAAAAUAGACAAAGGAAUGGGGGGUUCCACUGAAAAGGAUACUCGUUAUCACAGUAAAUAGUAGCGCAAUACCUGCAUUACAGACUUCUCACCUCGCCUAGCUGUCGGAGCUUGUACUGGAUCAAGCGAAGUCAACAGGUCAUUGAUCAAUGUAAACCAUGUGAACAAACCAGGAGCCACCCUUCGUAUAUUAAGAGAAGCAUCAAAUGACCCUCACCUACACAAUCUACAGUGUAAGCAAUCAUGCCGAGAGAUAGAUUCUCGGCUGCUGAGAUGUGGAUUAGAGGAACUAGCAAAAGUCUACAUUAUUACUGUUAAGAUGGAAGGUAGGGGACCCGACUUGUUCAACCUACCUUGUUAUUUUAUAACUUAAUCUCGGAAGCUCCAGGGAUCUAAAUUCUUGAUAGAAGGGGACUAGUGCAAUAACUUUAACCAACUUCCGUUCCAGGAGUGUGGCAGUGCUGGAGGCUGAACUACAAAACGGAAGUAGGAAAAUGUGGCUUAUCCUAACCUUAGUCAACUUCCCAUCUAACGCCUCUGCAAAACGACCAACUUCGGACUUCAGAAGAAUGACAAUCACUCCCAUCACAGUGUGUGGGAAACACAACUACACUACACUUCUGCACAGCUUCCUUGCCGUCGGUCUCAUGCCGAGUACAAUUACUUAGUUGUCGCUCUCCUACUUUCCAUGGAAAUUUAAAAUACAGAUGCGUUAAAACAUA